rfam:TPA: Bos taurus chromosome 21, whole genome shotgun sequence.
UCCCUGGUAGUCCAGUGGUUAAGACUUCAUGCUUCCAAUGCAAGGGCCUAGGUUCAAUCCCUGGUCAGGGAA